rnacentral:vault_RNA from 1 species
GAGCCAGCUCAGCCCAGCGGUUCCAUCGACCAACGUAUUGCUUAGAUCUCCCAAUCGUUUUCAGUGGUUUGAGACCUGUGAGCGCUGCCUGGCUU